rnacentral:misc_RNA from 1 species
AUGCGAUACGUAAUGUGAAUUGCAGAAUUUUGUGAAUCAUCGAAUCUUUGAACGCAUAUUGCACUCUCUGGUAUUCCGGAGAGUACGCCUGUUUCAGUAUCAAAAAUGUCAUCCAAAGUUUUGGUUUUUUUGCUAAAUCUUAUGGGAUUUGGGUUUUGCAGAACUUUUAGUUCCGCUGGCCUUAAAUAAUUUUAGCCAUUUAAAAGCGUUUGGGCGAUAAGGCGUAAUAGUUGGUACUUUCGGGUCCAUUUUUUCGCUGAAGUCUGUCUUUUUAAUCUCUGGCUUAAUAAAUAUGGAAAAAGGAAAUAUAUAUAUUUUCACCAUUGUUUAGAUCUGAAAUCAGGUGGGACUACCCGCUGAACUUAA